AGAAAAUUUGAUUUUAGUUUUUAAGUUUAAUAUAUUUUUUUAUUGUAUGUGAAUUUUAUGAAAUUAAAUUUUUUAAAUAGGGGUUUUAUUAGUUUGCAAUAAUUAAAUUUAUACAAUAAAAGUAAUUUUGAUAUAGGAAUAAAUAAAUAGUAUUGGUAAAAUUUGUGCCAGCAACCGCGGUUAAACAAAUGAUACAAUUAAAUUUUUAUCUAUUAGUAAUUAAUAAGAAAUAAUUAUAAUUUAAAAUUAAAUUUAAUGGGUGAAAUCAAAAAUUUAAAUUAAAUUAAUUAUUUAGUUUGUGUCGUUACGAAAUUUUUAUUAUAAACUAGGAUUAGAUACCCUAUUAUAAAAAAUGUAAAUUAAAAUAUUAGAGUAGUAUUAGUUAUAUUCUUGAAAUUUAAAAAAUUUGGCGGUAUUUUAGUCUUUUCAGGGGAACCUGUCCUGUGAUCGAUAAUCCACGAUUAAUUUUACUUAAUUUAAAAGUUUAUAUAUCGUCGUAGUUUGAAUAUCUUAAAAGGGGAAAAAUAUUCAUAAUUUAAAAUUUAUAAAAUAAAUCAGAUCAAGGUGUAGCUUAUAAUUAAGUAGUGAUGGGUUACAAUAAAUUUAUAUUAAAUGGUUAUAAUAAUUAAAAUUAUUAUAUAAAGUGGACUUGAAAGUAAUAUAUUUAAUUUAAAAUAUAUGAUUAAAGCUCUAAAAUAUGUACAUAUCGCCCGUCGCUUUCAUCGAAGAUUAAGGUGAAAUAAGUCGUAACAAAGUAGGCGUACCGGAAGGUGUGCCUAGGUCGAA
rnacentral:ncRNA from 1 species